GAGGCGGGUGAUGUGCACAGGCGUGGGGGACGGAGGAGGCGCAGGGGGUGCAGAGGAGGUGGGGGACGGAGGUGGCUGGGGACCGAGGGUGGCACGAGCAGAUGGCUACUCGGGGUCAAUCGUGGGCAUCACCGAGAUUCGUCUAGGUGUUCGAUGAAAAGGCAAGUGGACUGCAAGUAUUCAUGAGGAGGAGAAGCAUGAGAGGGGAGUGGUUCUGGAAUCUGGAUAUGGAGCCUGGAGGAGGGAGCUCGAGAAGCGCCGCAGGGAUGGAGGUGGAGGAUCAGGGAGCGGCUGUACUGGGCUACUGGCCUAGCGAACCAGAGGACGUCGAUGCUGACCUGAUACACCGCUGAAUCUGUCUACAAUUUAUCCUCUCCGGGUUCCUUGCAAGGGCAAAGGGCUGUUGGUUGUCAAGAUUUGAGUUUGAGUGGUCAGAUGGUGCAAGAGGUUUGACUUAACUAGAUUUUGUGUGAGGUGCUAGGGGCAAGGAUUGGGGUGCGCUUUCAGCUACAUGUUGGGAUUGAGCAAGAACACUCCAUGCAUAAUUGAUGGUGCCUUUUAAUUGCACAAUUCUACAAUUUUUAGAAUAACUCUUUGAAGAGUGCAGCGGCAGUGCCUUAGGGUCAAAUACUGCUAUUUACGCCGCUUUGUUGGUCCAUUUGUUCACUGAAUGGGGGGUCUGUUCAGAUUGAGGUGGUUCAGAUGAUUAAUUGGUUUUUCUUCUGUAUGCAUAGAAGGAGAAGGAAAAGGAUAAAGGACAUGCUCUGGCUUUAUAGAAUAUGGUAUCCAACCAAAGUAUUUUACCUAUCCCGAUAAGAAGCCCGACCUGGAAAAUUGGUAUUGUCUGUAACCUCAAAUGUUAAAAAUUGAGCCAGCAUACGAAGACUGGAAAGCCUAACCAAGAGGACCAAGAGGUAUAUUUCCUGAAGCCCGCACUUGCAUUUGUUUUUUCAAGCAUUAUGUAUAAGCUAGAGUUGUUUGGGCUCAUGUGCCUGUACGCAGAAAUUUAUCCUUGUUAUUUUGCCGGCCAGUGUCUGAGAUGCUCCAUGCUUUUGGCUGCACGGAUAAUUAGGAGAUUCCUAUACUGAUGUCGCGUUUCUAUGCCCUGACAUCAAAAUUGAAAAUACUUCUGUAAAUUUUGCGGCACAGGAUGUUGUGGAAGAUGAGCUGAGAACUGAAGGCACCAUUAGUGCGAAUGACAAUCGAUGGAUCUCGAGACAAAAGCCAACAAAGAUGGUACUGACGAGGGUAUGCAGGUUGCACCUGAACCAUAUUUACCUAUUAACAGUCUCUACUGCUAUUUAGUAGAUUAACAUUGUAUUGUACCAUUUAGUUGUUAAUCGCACACAUUGUUAGUGGAUGUUGUCUAAAAAUAGUUCUGAGGAAUAUUGAAUUAGCUAUUUUUUAUAUCCCUGUGCAGUGGCGGUAUCUCGCGUGGCUUGAACUCUCAGUAUAUGUAUUUACCAAUUUUAUGCCUUUCUAUGUGUUUCUAGGCUCUGUGCGGUCAUUUUUGUCCAAUAUUUACUUUAAUCUAGGGUGCCCACUACUAUCAAAGAUAUGUCUGACAAUUAAAUCAUAUUUCCUCCACGUUUGUUUAUGGUGGUCAAGCGCAGUUUUUUAAUGGUGAGACCCGUUCGGAACCAAGGCAUUGAAACAAUGGUGUUGUUGAUAUGAGAAGUGUUGGUGAGAAUUGCGAUGCCUCGCAGUUCCUAGCGGGAUGGCAUCGACCAACUUUGCGGAUAAUAGAUGACUUUUUAUGCUUUCCCUGGAUGUAUGGGAGGAUGAUAAUAAUUGAUUUAUAUUCAAUGAUUUUAUCUCUUUGUUCUGUCCAUUGCAGGUCUUUGGGCAAAAAGAUAAGCAUAUGCUGAUGAAAAAGGACAUAUCUGCCAAAGAACAAGGCAGCUUGUUUUGAUGCCCUUGAGAGUUUGCUUAAUUGCUUUUGUUACUAUUUGGCUUGAUGCCAAAAUUUUGUCAAGGUUAUGUUCUAUUUUUUCCCCGGUUCAUUUUUGGAGACAAAAAGAGCAAAUAUUUGAGUUGCCAAUUUGAUCUGCGGAAUUUGGCUUGGUUUUCAUUGGCUUCUUUUAGGCACAAAACCAAUCAGGACUUUUUCUUUUGCAGCAUUUAUUUGCUUUCUUUGUUUCUGCCUUCUCAUUGUUUGCUAAUUUCAUAUGUACGGGAUUAAACACACAUAUAUAUUGCGUGAUCCUUUUGAGGAUCCUCGGGUUGCUGAAUUUAUUCAUGAGAAUUCUCCGUCAGGAAAGCCACAUGAUUAGCUACUUUCAGUCAUGCUGUUUGUGUGUACACAGUUAACAAGAGCUUAUUUUCUCAAUGCCAUAUGGUGAUUCAAACUUUGGCUUUCAUUUUGGCGUAGUUAGUUUGCCGCCUGGUCCCAUGUUGUGGUUAAUAGACGACUUAAAUCUAUAUUAGAGUUUGUUUCCAUCAACUCGUGUUAUU